rnacentral:rRNA from 1 species
AUACGUAGGGGGCAAGCGUUAUCCGGAAUUACUGGGUGUAAAGGGUGAGUAGGCGGUAUCGUAAGUCAUAUGUGAAAUCCCGGUGCUUAACACCGGGGCUGCAUAAGAAACUGCGGAACUAGAGUACAGGAGAGGUAAGCGGAAUUCCUAGUGUAGCGGUGAAAUGCGUAGAUAUUAGGAAGAACACCAGUGGCGAAGGCGGCUUACUGGACUGAAACUGACGCUGAGUCACGAAAGCGUGGGGAGCGAACAGGAUUAGAUACCCUGGUAGUCCACGCUGUAAACGAUGAGUGCUAGGUGUCGGGUAGAGAUACUCGGUGCCGGAGCUAACGCAAUAAGCACUCCACCUGGGGAGUACGGUCGCAAGAUUGAA